GAUAACCAUACCAUUCUGAAUGUUCCUGAUCUCAUCUGAUCUCAGAAGCUAGGCAGGGUCAGGCCUUGGAGGAGAGAAAAUUCCAAGGAGACUGUAUCA
rnacentral:rRNA from 1 species